rnacentral:rRNA from 1 species
CAAUCCUGGUGGCGAGUGGCGAACGGGUGAGUAAUACAUCGGAACGUGUCCUGUAGUGGGGGAUAGCCCGGCGAAAGCCGGAUUAAUACCGCAUACGAUCUGUGGAUGAAAGCGGGGGAUCUUCGGACCUCGCGCUGCACGGGCGGCCGAUGGCAGAUUAGCUAGUUGGUGGGGUAAAGGCCUACCAAGGCGACGAUCUGUAGCUGGUCUGAGAGGACGACCAGCCACACUGGGACUGAGACACGGCCCAUACUCCUACGGGAGGCAUCAGUGGGGAAUUUUGGACAAUGGGCGAAAGCCUGAUCCAGCAAUGCCGCGUGUGUGAAGAAGGCCUUCGGGUUGUAAAGCACUUUUGUCCGGAAAGAAAACCUCGUGGUUAAUACCCGUGGGGGAUGACGGUACCGGAAGAAUAAGCACCGGCUAACUACGUGCCAGCAGCCGCGGUAAUACGUAGGGUGCAAGCGUUAAUCGGAAUUACUGGGCGUAAAGCGUGCGCAGGCGGUUCGCUAACACAGAUGUGAAAUCCCCGGGCUUAACCUGGGAACUGCAUUUGUGACUGGCGGGCUAGAGUAUGGCAGAGGGGGGUAGAAUUCCGUGUGUAGCAGUGAAAUGCGUAGAGAUGUGGAGGAAUACCGAUGGCUAAAGCAGCCCCCUGGGCCAAUACUGACACUCAUGCACCAGAGCGUGUGGAGCAAACAGGAUUAGAUACCCUGGUAGUCCACGCCCU